rnacentral:rRNA from 1 species
UACGUAGGGUGCAAGCGUUACUCGGAAUUACUGGGCGUCAAGCGUGCGCAGGCGGUUCGCUAAGACCGAUGUGAAAUCCCCGGGCUUAACCUGGGAACUGCAUUGGUGACUGGCGGGCUAGAGUAUGGCAGAGGGGGGUAGAAUUCCACGUGUAGCAGUGAAAUGCGUAGAGAUGUGGAGGAAUACCGAUGGCGAAGGCAGCCCCCUGGGCCAAUACUGACGCUCAUGCACGAAAGCGUGGGGAGCAAACAGG